rnacentral:misc_RNA from 1 species
GUUUGUUUACACGGCAGUCUAGAUCUAGAGUAGAAUAUGUACAGCACUAGGCGUAGGUUACUGGAAAGGCUUCCUUAUUUUUUUGGGAAUGCCGGCUCUGUUGAGCUCUGUAUAUUUGUCAUGUUGGUUACUUCAUUGUUGCAUGCUUCCCCCAUCUUAGAAGUUUUGAAGGCACUUGCCCUGUUAGAAAUGUAGUCCCAUCUCCAUUUCAUAUACUAA